UGAAAAGGCGACACUGAGGCUGCCAGGGCAGAGGCUUGUGGUGAUGAAGGUUCAAAGGCUGGUGGUGACGAAGGUCUAGACACAUCAUUUGGGCCAAACUGAGACGCAAGCAAGAUUUUGGGCACCCUUCUUGUUACAACCCUGGACAGCAUGAGGAAACGGUAUGAAUUCUUGAUGGUAGUGAUACGAGUUCCCAAUGACAAAGAAUCUGCUGAUUCUAAUGAGGACAAGGUGGCCCUUGAUGAAGUGGCAUUCCUCAACGGUUCAGGAUUCCCAUGCCCAAUCUUUCCUGUGAAGCUCUCGACCACUAGGGGUUAGCCCCUAAUCAAUUAAUGGCGAACUCCUGGAGGAUCCUAUUAGGGUUUGACGUCUUUGUCUCAAAGCUAAAGUGUGACGCAACCCUUGGAACCUUCUGCCAUUAUUUUCAUUCUGAAAAAACUUGGUAUGCGUUGGUACUACUUUACCCUUCGAGACAAGAAGAAACCCUAUUGGCCGUCCAGUUUUUCAGUCAUAUGCCCACUUUAGUGAAGAAUUGGAACAACCGAUUUCUCUUUGCUGCCAUACCGGGUAACCUCUUCAAGACCGUCUAGUUCAAGCCCUCCCUCAAGAUACUUUAUCGAGCCCCCACUCUUAGUGAGGAAGAGUAUCAGACGGUCCAAAUGUGCCUGGAUGGAGAGGUCGUGGAAGUCCGGAUGCUUUAGGAGGACUUCCUGUGAGAGUGGGGCCUCAGUGAGGUCUCGAAAGAGGGUGAGGGUCCCUGGCUCGGCAUAGCUUCAUUGGUUGAUGUUCAGUUGGAAAAGAAGAAACUUGCGGUUGUGGAAGCUCAGAGGGCUAAGGUAGCUAAGCAGGCUACUAAGAGAGCCGAAGACAAGGUAGUUGAGAAGGCUAAGCAGUCAGGUGCUCAUGCCUAAGCCCAAGUAGGUGAGAAGAACAAGCAAGUGAGUGCCACUGCUUUGGCUCAGACAGGAGAGAAGGCCCUAUCGACGACAGGGGUGGCUAAGGAACAUCCUUUAGAGAAGGAGCUGACCCAGGUAUAGGGUCUGGACAAAGGGAAGGGCCACAUUGGACCUCCCCUAGAUCAAGGGAUGAAGGAAAGAGGUUCUCCCUACAGACGACUUCUCCUUAACCACUCAAUCAACUUGCUAGUCAAGGUCAAGAGGGUCGCAAGAGAAGGAGGGAAGAAGAAUCAUCCCUGGGUAAUGUUGCUGCCAUCCCACCUAGGGGUCCUUGCGGCUCGGGAAAGAGGGUCCCUCCUCCAGCUUGGAAUUUGCUGGAGGAUGACUACUCCAUAGCGGAUAAAGUGGUGGCCUGAACCUGGGGCAAGCUGGGCCGACUUCGUCCUUACAGUGAAAGAGUCAAGGCACUUCAGGAUAUUCUACUUUGCAGAUAAUGUCUACCAGCGGAUCUCUGAUGGUUUCAACUGGUCGAUUGAAGUGGCUAAUCGACUUGAGAGGAUGGUUGUAAAGAAGCAAAAGGUUGAGCUGAGGUGUAGCAGUUGCGGGAUCAGUUGGCACAAGUCCGUGGUCAAUUGGAUGUAGCUGGAUAGCAAUGCCGAGACGAGGAAGUUAAGGCCACUACAACCGGGAAAGGUUAGCACAACUGGGUGCAGAGGUGAGAAAGCAACUAUUUGCGCACAACGGCCUCAUACAAGUUAAGCAGCGUCUUCAAGGGGAGGGUAGAGUUCUAAGAGGAGUUGCAAAAGAGGAGUGUAGCUCACCAACUUCCCAUCCAGACCCUGAAUAAGCAGCACCAGGCCGAGCUGAAGGAGGCUGGGGACAAAGCUAUCGAGGUUAACCUCAACUCCAAAAAUUGCUAGGCCUGGCUCCUCAGUCUCAACACCUCCUCCUCCUUUAACGAGGGGUCCGAUGCCGUUGUGAACUUCAUCCUGAAAAAGUACCCCUGCCUUGACCUGAGCGAUUAUGAGCACUUUUUGCCACCCCCUGAAUCGUUGGUCCAACAACUCGACAAUAUGGCUGAGGAGGUGGGAGAAGAGGUGAACCAAGAGAAGACGACCACGCCCUUUUCUAUGAAGGAUAAGGAUAUCCGUGCGGCUCCAUGACUGUCUCCCUUAGCUUUCUUUUUGUCUUUGUUAUUGUGCCCCUUUUGGGCAUUGAUGUAAGGUUUUGUGUUUACUCCCCACUUUCUUUUUUUUUUAACCUGGCCUUCUUUGGGUGUGCUUGUAAAGAA